UCCAACAUAUUCCCAGAGCUGAUUUUUUUUGUCUUUAUUAGAACACGCACAUGCAUAAAGAUUAAUGGACCCGUGCCCUGCUGUUUUACUAGAGGAAGGUCCAGUGACUCUGGCAUGGGUUGCCAUAGCAAUGUGCAGGACAACAUAGGGGGGGAGGAGGGCUAGAGAGAAGAACUGGGCUUUCAGCAGAACGCAACAAGCCGAAGAGAUGCCAUCUCUGCUGAGGCUCUGAGAGACAUCCAAUCGGACAGUGUGUAGGGGCACAGUUUUGGCAAACGGGAUUGGCUCCGAGUUUACAGUGGGGACAUAUGGACCGCAGCAGCCUCCCUGUAGAGAGCUUUACUUAACUUUACUUUAUCCAAAGCGACUUACAAGAGGAAGGCACCAGCAAUUCUCAUUCGGUUUCUAUAGAUUUUGAGUUGCAAAGAGUUAUGUACUUAAGGCCUAACUUGUCAGGAAAGAGCUGGGUAGUAGAAGGAACAUUGGGGG
rnacentral:lncRNA from 1 species